UACAGAGGUCUCAAGCGUUGUUCGGAUUCAUUGGGCGUAAAGGGUGUGUAGGUGGCGCUGUAAGUCGGGUGUGAAAUCUCGGGGCUUAACUCCGAAACUGCAUUCGAUACUGCGGUGCUUGAGGACUGGAGAGGAGACUGGAAUUCAUGGUGUAGCAGUGAAAUGCGUAGAGAUCAUGAGGAAGACCAGUGGCGAAGGCGGGUCUCUGGACAGUUCCUGACACUGAGACACGAAGGCUAGGGGAGCAAACGGG
rnacentral:rRNA from 1 species